rnacentral:lncRNA from 1 species
CGGUGCCAUGUCCGCACCCAGGAUCUGAACCGGUGAACCCCGGGCCGCUGAGAAGUGGAACGUGCGAACUUAACCGCUGCGCCACCAAGCCGGCCCCUGGGAACCUGCAUUUUGACAAGCUCUGGAGGCUAGGAGUCAGAAAUCAAGGUGUCACAGGGCCACGCUCCCUCUGGAGCCUGCAGCGCGGAGUCCUCUUUCCUCUUCUAGCCUCUGGGGUUUGCUGGCGAUCCUCGGUGUCGCUUGGCUUGCAGAUACAUCACUCCAGUCUCUGCCUCUGUCAUCACAAGACGUCCUCGCCUGAAUACGAGUUCCAUGAAGACAGGGGCUCCUCUCCUGUUCACCACUGUCCGGCAACAACUGUGAGGUUUCAGACUCUAGGACACCACUAAGGUUCUAGGAUUCUAGGUUCACCACGGCCACUGCCACCAGCCACUCCACAUACUACCCUUGCAAUGGAUUCUACCGUGAGGCUUAGGCAAGCUCACCAACUGUUGGAGCUUCAGGGAAGGGGGAGAAGUAACUGAAAAGUGAGAGCCACACAGUGCCUUCUGUCCAGAUCAGUCAUUGGAUGAGGCCCGCCUCCAGAAGGGCAUGACACCAGUUAAGCUAGCUCACUGCAUCAGAGGCUGACCCUGAAGGGUCUCACAGAUGAAGGCAGCCUGCCUGCAGCUCCACACCUGCAACAACAGGCGGCGCAUCUCCAUGUCUACCACUCAACCCUGGUAAUGAUGCCUGAAGAGAGCUUUGGAGAGGUUCCCAUGUCUCAGUCAUCCGUAUCCUUUUGCACUUA